GACGAACGCUGGCGGCGUGCCUAAUACAUGCAAGUCGAGCGGUUCUUAGAAAGCUUGCUUUCUAAGAAUAGCGGCGGACGGGUGAGUAACACGUGGGCAACCUACCUAUAAGACUGGGAUAACUUCGGGAAACCGGAGCUAAUACCGGAUAAUAUAAGAGAUUACAUGAUUUCUUAUUGAAAGAUGGCUUUUAGCUAUCACUUAUAGAUGGGCCCGCGGCGCAUUAGCUAGUUGGUGAGGUAACGGCUCACCAAGGCGACGAUGCGUAGCCGACCUGAGAGGGUGAUCGGCCACACUGGGACUGAGACACGGCCCAGACUCCUACGGGAGGCAGCAGUAGGGAAUCUUCCGCAAUGGACGAAAGUCUGACGGAGCAACGCCGCGUGAGUGAUGAAGGCCUUCGGGUCGUAAAACUCUGUUGUUAGGGAAGAACAAGUAUCGUUCGAAUAGGGCGGUACCUUGACGGUACCUAACCAGAAAGCCACGGCUAACUACGUG
rnacentral:rRNA from 1 species